rnacentral:lncRNA from 1 species
GGCUUGUUUUAAUUUUGGUAGCAAGUUCCGGAAAUGGGUCUUAACUUUAUACUCAAAUAUAUCUAGUCUUGUCGUUAAUAAUGGAUUUAGUUCUAGUCCGUUCAAAAUUGAGAGAGGUGUUCGACAAGGGUGUCCUUUGUCUCCUUUUUUAUUUAUUUUGGCCGUUGAACUGCUGGCAAUAAAUAUUCGUAAGAACAACCAUAUAUCAGGUAUAAAAAAUUGGGGAUACUGAAAUAAAAAUUUCACAGUUGGCUGAUGAUACCACUUGUUUUUUGAAAGAUGUAUUUUCUGCGCAAAUUUUAUUAGAUUCCUUUAAUGAUUUUGAGAAGUGUUCAGGGUUAAAAGUCAAUUUUUCGAAAACCGAAGCAACAUGGAUUGGAAGAAAUAAAUUUAACAAAGAAGGUUCCCUUCCUAUUAAAUGGACAGAUGGUUUUAAAACCUUAGGUUUAAAAUUUAACGCUUUUGAUGAAAUGGUUUGUUCUAACUUAGAUACAUGCAUAGAAAAAAUGGAAUCAAUUAUUAAAAUGUGGAGGAUCAGAAACCUUUCCUUGAUCGGUAAAAUCGUAAUUCUUAAAUCACUUGCAAUAUCGAAGCUUAUUUAUGUCAUUUCAUCUACACAUGUACCAAGAUCUUAUGUAAUUAAAAUACAAAGGGACAUUAAUAACUUUUUAUGGAAUGAUAGUACUCCGAAAGUUAAAUCGGAAGUUAUUCAAAAGUCUCCUAGCGAGGGGGGACUGAAAGCACCAAAUUUUGAAGUACAGCUGUUAUCCUUUCGUAUCAUGUGGGUAAAACGAUUUUUGUCAGAACAUGACUCUAAAUGGAAACAUGUUUCCAAAGCAUUCUUCUCCCUUUUUGAUUUAGAGGACUUAUUUAUGAGCAGAUGUGAAUUUGAGUUUUUAAAUUUAAAAGCACCUCUUUUUUAUAUAGAAGUGCUAUCUGCUUGGAAACGUUUCAAGGGUAUUUUCAUCCCGUUAAAUGCAUUUCAUGUUAGAAAAGAAUUUAUUUGGUUCAAUCCGUUUAUCAAGGUUAACAGAACGAGUAUUUUUUACAGAUCUUGGUACACGAAAGGCAUAAGGUUCAUUAAUGAUAUUGUAGAUGAUAAAGGCGAAUUUUUGUCUCAUGACGCUAUUAACAAAAAAUAUAAUUUGAAUGUUACUUUUGUAGACAUUCUUUCUAUUAAACUUGCUAUACCACGUGACUGGAAAGAUUUGUUAUUACAACAACACAUGUCACCUAAGAGCAACUCUUUUGGAUUCGUUUUUGAGCAUGAGAAUAAAAAAAUGCCUAUUAGCAAAUUAUAUACUAAAGAUGUAUAUUCACUUUUUAUCGAUCGGGUAAGUGUUUCUCCUAUUUCAC